rnacentral:ncRNA from 1 species
CCUGUCCACACAGGUAGGGAUGUGACUCUCGGCGUCUUUGGCGUCGAGAGUUGAACCAUGCA